rnacentral:rRNA from 1 species
GGGAUUGCCCUAGUAACGGCGAGUGAAGCGGCAAGAGCUCAAAUUUGAAAGCUGGCCCCCGCGGGGUCCGCAUUGUAAUUUGCAGAGGAUGCUUCGGGAGCGGUCCCCAUCUAAGUGCCCUGGAACGGGCCGUCAUAGAGGGUGAGAAUCCCGUAUGGGAUGGGGUGCCCGCGCCCGUGUGAAGCUCCUUCGACGAGUCGAGUUGUUUGGGAAUGCAGCUCUAAUUGGGUGGUAAAUUUCAUCUAAAGCUAAAUAUUGGCCGGAGACCGAUAGCGCACAAGUAGAGUGAUCGAAAGAUGAAAAGCACUUUGAAAAGAGAGUUAAAAAGCACGUGAAAUUGUUGAAAGGGAAGCGCUUGCGAUCAGACUCGCCUGCGGGGUUCAGCCGGCCUUCGGGCCGGUGUACUUCCCCGCGGGCGGGCCAGCGUCGGUUUGGGCGGCCGGUCAAAGGCCCCUGGAAUGUAACGCCUCUCGGGGCGUCUUAUAGCCAGGGGUGCCAUGCGGCCUGCCCGGACCGAGGAACGCGCUUCGGCUCGGACGCUGGCAUAAUGGUCGUAAGCGACCCGUCUUGAAACACGGACCAAGGAGUCUAACAUCUACGCGAGUGUUCGGGUGUCAAACCCGUACGCGCAGUGAAAGCGAACGGAGGUGGGAACCCUCACGGGUGCACCAUCGACCGAUCCUGAUGUCUUCGGAUGGAUUUGAGUAAGAGCGUAGCUGUUGGGACCCGAAAGAUGGUGAACUAUGCCUGAAUAGGGCGAAGCCAGAGGAAACUCUGGUGGAGGCUCGCAGCGGUUCUGACGUGCAAAUCGAUCGUCAAAUUUGGGUAUAGGGGCGAAAGACUAAUCGAACCAUCUAGUAGCUGGUUCCUGCCGAA